rnacentral:rRNA from 1 species
UGGGGAAUUUUGGACAAUGGGGGCAACCCUGAUCCAGCCAUGCCGCGUGAGUGAAGAAGGCCUUCGGGUUGUAAAGCUCUUUCAGACGGAAAGAAAACGCUUCCCCUAAUACGGGAGGCGGAUGACGGUACUGUCAGAAGAAGCACCGGCUAACUACGU